GACGAACGCUGGCGGCGUGCUUAACACAUGCAAGUCGAACGGAAAGGCCCUUCUUGCAGGGUGCUCGAGUGGAGAACGGGUGAGUAACACGUGGGUGAUCUGCCCCUUACUUUGGGAUAAUCCUGGGAAACUGGGUCUAAUACUGGAUGGGACCAUGCUGUAGGUGGUGUGGUGGAAAGAUUAGUUUCGGUAAGGGAUGAGCUCGCGGCCUAUCAGCUAGUUGGUGGGGUAAUGUCCUACCAAGACGUCGACGGGUAGCCGACCUGAGAGGGUGGACGGCGACAUUGGGACAUAGAUACGAAGCAGACGCCGACGGGAGGCAGCAGUGGGGAGUAGAGAACAAUGGGGGAAAGCGUGAGAGAGCGAAGCCCCGUGGGGGAAAACGGAGGUCGGAUUGUAAACACCUUUCAAAAAUGACGAAAACCUUGUGGUGACGGUAGUGGUAGAAGAAGAACAGGCUAACUACGUG
rnacentral:rRNA from 1 species